rnacentral:rRNA from 1 species
GGGACUGUGAGAGGGAGUUUGAAGCGCGGAGAGUGACUGGUUACAGACAAGUGACCAGGCCCGCUGGGGCGCCGCACGCAUGUAG